rnacentral:rRNA from 1 species
GUGAGGAAUAUUGGUCAAUGGGCGGGAGCCUGAACCAGCCAAGUCGCGUGAAGGAAGAAGGAUCUAUGGUUCGUAAACUUCUUUUGCAGGGGAAUAAAGUGCAGGACGUGUCCUGUUUUGUAUGUACCCUGAGAAUAAGGAUCGGCUAACUCCGUGCCAGCAGCCGCGGUAAUACGGAGGAUCCGAGCGUUAUCCGGAUUUAUUGGGUUUAAAGGGUGCGUAGGUGGUUUGAUAAGUCAGCGGUGAAAGUUUGCAGCUUAACUGUAAAAAUGCCGUUGAAGCUGUCGGACUUGAGUGUAAAUGAGGUAGGCGGAAUGCGUGGUGUAGCGGUGAAAUGCAUAGAUAUCACGCAGAACUCCGAUUGCGAAGGCAGCUUACUAAGCUACAACUGACACUGAAGCACGAAAGCGUGGGGAUCAAACAGGAUUAGAUACCCUGGUAGUCC